AGUCUCAAAUGUUUCUAGCAUACAGAUGUCUAGGAUUUGAUUAGUAAAAAAAAUUCAAUGUUGUGGAUGGUCAUGUCCCAAGUUCAGAGCUAAUCAGAGUGCAGUUGAAAGUGAUACAAAAAUACCUGAAUGAGGCCAAUACAAUAAUACAAACUUGCGGAAGGAUGGACAAUGAAUACAAUCUACUCCAAAUCAACAACCACCCUGCAGAAAUCAAUGAUGUAUUGGUCAGUAAUAAAAGGACAGAAUGAAUGGGAAUAGUAAGCGUUAUGACAGAUUCAUCCCUACUAGCACAGACUUGAUGCAGCAAGGUUGGUGGCUGUUGGCAUCAAAGAUAAAAAGAUUCAGUGAC
rnacentral:lncRNA from 1 species